CCGCCCGUAGCUCAGUUGGAUAGAGCAACAGCCUUCUAAGCUGUGGGUCUGCCGUUCGAGUCGGCACGGGCGGGCCA
rnacentral:tRNA from 1 species